UAGCCGAAGCCAGGGACAUAGCGACCAGG
rnacentral:sRNA from 1 species